GAUGAACGCUGGCGGCGUGCAUAAUACAUGCAAGUCGAGCGAACAGACGAGGAGCUUGCUCCUCUGACGUUAGCGGCGGACGGGUGAGUAACACGUGGAUAACCUACCUAUAAGACUGGGAUAACUUCGGGAAACCGGAGCUAAUACCGGAUAAUAUAUUGAACCGCAUGGUUCAAUAGUGAAAGACGGUUUUGCUGUCACUUAUAGAUGGAUCCGCGCCGCAUUAGCUAGUUGGUAAGGUAACGGCUUACCAAGGCAACGAUGCGUAGCCGACCUGAGAGGGUGAUCGGACACACUGGAACUGAGACACGGUCCAGACUCCUACGGGAGGCAGCAGUAGGGAAUCUUCCGCAAUGGGCGAAAGCCUGACGGAGCAACGCCGCGUGAGUGAUGAAGGUCUUCGGAUCGUAAAACUCUGUUAUUAGGGAAGAACAAAUGUGUAAGUAACUAUGCACGUCUUGACGGUACCUAAUCAGAAAGCCACGGCUAACUACGUG
rnacentral:rRNA from 1 species